rnacentral:rRNA from 1 species
GACGAACCGUGCAAACGUUGUUCGGAAUCACUGGGCUUAAAGGGCGCGUAGGCGGGCACGCCAGUCAGGGGUGAAAUCCCACGGCUCAACCGUGGAAGUGCCUUUGAUACUGCGUGCCUUGGGGGAGGUAGGGGCGUGCGGAACUUCCGGUGGAGCGGUGAAAUGCGUAGAUAUCGGAAGGAACACCGGUGGCGAAAGCGGCGCGCUGGAUCUCUACUGACGCUGAGGCGCGAAAGCCAGGGGAGCAAACGGG